GUUCUGUGUUCCCUUUUCAAACCUCAGAAAAUUGUAUAACUAGCACUGUGAGAACAGUUUCUUUACACAGAUCAGGUAUUGAACUGAUUUUUAAGUGAAAAUCUUACCUAUUAAAGAUAUUUGCUCCACAUGAUUUUAGCAUAUAUGCAAAGGAUUUGGUCCUCAGAGGAUCCAGAUUCUCUGUUACACUUUUUGAAGAAAUUUAUGACUCAAACUAAGUUUUGGAACCCCAGCAUUCCAACUAAGAGGUGUAUGUUUGAAACCAUCCUUGGUAUAGAGAUGGUAAAUAGACCCUAAGUUCCUGCUUUGAUUUCAAGUUCUUUAUAAGGACUUUGCAGUGUUUUUUUUUUUUUCAACUUACAGUUGACUCCUAGAGUUCUCCUACCCUAAUGGAAUGAACCCUG
rnacentral:lncRNA from 1 species